GCUUCAUGCCAAUCAAAAAUAAGAACCGCCUACAUUAACCUGCUGCCCAUAAAUAAGAGGGAACUCCUGAAACUAAAACUCAGUGGUGUGAAUUUAAGAGAUCUUGACUUUACCAGUACUUUGUCCAUCUUUGAUCGUCCAGCUUCACUGCCAAAACACCAAUCAUGAAGACCUCAAUUUUGCUUCUCCUUUGCAUGUUCGCCUGCAUGGUAGCGGUGCAAACAGUAUAUGCUGAUGACGAUAGUGAAGAAACUGGAGGUGCUGAAGACACUGGAGGUGCUCAAGAACUCACUGAUGGCGAAACUGAUACGGAUGUUGAUGCCGACACUGAUACGGAUACCGACACCGAUACUGACGUCGACGCUGAUGCCGACGCCGAUGCUGAUACUGGGGACGCUGCUGACCCAGCCGACACAGACCCAUAGACUCUGAAAAAAAUGGAGAGAUUACCGCUCAUCCAUCCAACGAGAGAGAGAGAGAGAGGGGGGGGGGGGAGAGUGAGAGAGGAGGGAGGGGGGGGGGCAGAUGGCUAAAGUUAUUCGUUUCUUUCGUUGAUUUAUUACCAAGCUCCUUGGUAAUUGUCGGUCAUGCAUGUGAAAAAAGAAAACCACCCAACUUUGUGCACAAUUACAUUUUGUGUUAUAACUGAAUAAAUUUGCCCCCCCCCCCUCGGGGUUGGGGCUAUCAUUCUUCGGUGACUAUUUUGAGACGUCGAAGUCCCAUUCCAUUUGUUUUAAUUUCAAGUUAUCAUAAUUUGAUAGUCCUUUUUCAACUGAAAUAAAGCAACUCUGUAUAUAAGAAACAA